GGCCAAGUAUCUCAAUGCCACCAAGAGUCUGUAGUGGUGGCAUUUACUGCCACCUAGUGUAGCCAUAAUAGAAAUGCAUUCUCCUAUUGGAGCCAAUCUGCACUCAUCUCCAGCUCUGACUGAACUAAGACUGGAUGAGAUCCUUCCCAAGGCACCAUCCUGUUGAGUAAUGUUAACCCUUCCACCUGACAUACUACAUCUAAAAUAUACUACUAUAUUUGGUGAAAAACUGCUCACAGUGACCUUAGAUAACUCAAUGAAAUCAUUAAAGCACAGUCUUCUCAUCCGUAAGAUAGGCAGGCGAUAGUAAUAUCUCACAGCUUUGUUGCAAGGAUCAAAUAAGCUAAAUAUAUGUGACAAGAUUUGUAAAGUAGUAUGUGCAUGUAUUUUUGUUAUUCUUGAUACAGAUGUCUAAUUUUUACUUUGCUUGUUAUGAUUUUACUGAAAAUUAUGUUCUGACUUGUCCUUUUGCUGUGUUAUUGCUAAAUCAUACCUGAAGUAGCUUUGUUUCAUCAAUAAUAUUUGUUAAUUGAGGUAAACAACUACAGAUAUGUGAUUCCUCUUAAUAUGCUCUGUGUAGAGGUAAUGAACAGAUUUAUCAGAAAACUUUUUUUUUAAAGCAAUUAGCUCCAAUACUCAGGGAGACAUUACAGCGCCUAGGGAUGGCUGAUUAAUGUAGUGCCUCAUUAAAUAUAUUUUUUGGAGGAAUGCUCACUCACCCCAGCCAGAGGGGAAAUUUCCCAAAUAUAAACUUGCUGGUAAUCUGCAUUUAUCCUGAGUCAUUUAUCAAAUUGCCUCUGGAAAUUGUUGAAAUGCAUGACUCGUUAAUAGCACCUGAGGUGGCCUUGUUGUGCCACUGCCACAUGAAUCACUUCAUUACCACACAUGCCAUAAAAUAUUCUUGGUUUAAUCAUUCUGCAAGACCAUAGUCAUAAGUUAAAAUGUCAUCAGGUAUAAAAAGAUCUCGGGUACUCACUUCAGCAGCACAUAGGCUAAAACAGAAACGAUACAGAGAAGAUUAGCAUGGCCCCCAUGCAAGGAUGACUCACAAGCUGGUGAAGUGGUCCGUAUUUUUAUAGAUAAACAAAAAUAAAAAAGAUCUGGGAAGAAA